GUCAGCAACCCAGCACUAAAGUGACUGGGCUUCCAGCCUAAAAACUGGGAGUCUCUCACGCUUCUUGUGACCGCUCUGCGGUCUAGCUGACCAGAUUAAGUGCUCCGGGCACUACGUUUCAAGGAAGUGUUAAAGUUCUCACCAAGAAAUGCGUAGCUAGUUUCUUGCUCUGAAAUCAAGAAGUUAAAUAGACCCAAUGGGUUAAGUCAGUGCUUUUUGGAUGUGCCGCCUUUAAACCUUAUCGAAGCUAACAUUAC
rfam:Mastigocoleus testarum BC008 Contig-30, whole genome shotgun sequence.